AGUGAACGCUGGCGGUAGGCCUAACACAUGCAAGUCGAGCGGCAGCACAGUAAGAGCUUGCUCUUACGGGUGGCGAGUGGCGGACGGGUGAGGAAUACAUCGGAAUCUACUUUUUCGUGGGGGAUAACGUAGGGAAACUUACGCUAAUACCGCAUACGACCUACGGGUAAAAGCAGGGGAUCUUCGGACCUUGCGCGAUUGAAUGAGCCGAUGUCGGAUUAGCUAGUUGGCGGGGUAAAGGCCCACCAAGGCGACGAUCCGUAGCUGGUCUGAGAGGAUGAUCAGCCACACUGGAACUGAGACACGGUCCAGACUCCUACGGGAGGCAGCAGUGGGGAAUAUUGGACAAUGGGCGCAAGCCUGAUCCAGCCAUACCGCGUGGGUGAAGAAGGCCUUCGGGUUGUAAAGCCCUUUUGUUGGGAAAGAAAAGCAGCAGGUUAAUACCCCGCUGUUCUGACGGUACCCAAAGAAUAAGCACCGGCUAACUUCGUG
rnacentral:rRNA from 1 species